UGGAAUUGCUAGUAAUGGCAGGUCAGCAUACUGCCGUGAAUACGUUCCCGGGCCUUGUACACACCGCCCGUCACACCAUGAGAGUUGGGAAUACCCGAAGCCUGUGAGCUAACUGUAAGGAGGCAGCAGUCGAAGGUAGAAUCAAUGAUUGGGGUGAAGUCGUAACAAGGUAGC
rnacentral:rRNA from 1 species